UWGAGUUUGAUCAUGGCUCAGAUUGAACGCUGGCGGCAGGCCUAACACAUGCAAGUCGAGCGGAAACGAUGGAAGCUUGCUUCCAGGCGUCGAGCGGCGGACGGGUGAGUAAUGCAUGGGAAUCUGCCCGAUAGUGGGGGAUAACCUGGGGAAACCCAGGCUAAUACCGCAUACGUCCUACGGGAGAAAGCAGGGGAUCUUCGGACCUUGCGCUAUCGGAUGAGCCCAUGUCGGAUUAGCUUGUUGGUGAGGUAAUGGCUCACCAAGGCGACGAUCCGUAGCUGGUCUGAGAGGAUGAUCAGCCACAUCGGGACUGAGACACGGCCCGAACUCCUACGGGAGGCAGCAGUGGGGAAUAUUG
rnacentral:rRNA from 1 species